ensembl:lncRNA
AAUCACAUCAGAGACCUGCUAUGUGCAUGGUUAUCAUUACCAAGAGAAGCGAGUGAGGCCUUCGGUUUUAAGGAACUUUUCAAAGAUCAUAAAUAGAGGGUAAGACCCAUGUGGGCUUAUGAAACAGUCUGGUCACCGUCCAAAACAUUUCAGCUUCUUCUUGACUCUUCUGCUAACUCCUCCAUCCCUACUGAUGUGCAGAGGUCACUGCUGGCAUCUAGUGGUGGAGUCCUGGGAUAUUUCUGCCAUCUCACAGUGCUCCGGAUGGCCUCCAGAACCGAGUAUCCAAUGUCAGAUAUCAAUAGUUUGAGAAAUCUUGGAUUGAACCAAACUCUUGGGCCAGCCGAGGCUGUGUGACUUUCAUCAAGGUCCACCAGAACCUGGAUUGCACAGAAAGGAGACUCUGUGGACCACCUGCUCUCUUCCUGGUGAGAAGAGACAUGGCCUCUGGCAUCUCUAGGAAGAGAAUAUGAUCUCCUUCCCCACUGGGUUAGUUCUGAACUUAGGUGACUACUUCCUGUUCUCAACUACCAGAACCAGGACCAAACCAUGCUGUUCUGAGCAUGCUCAGUGCUCAUCCUACCCUCUAGUUGGAUUUUGGUUCUGUGGUCUCUUCUGGUGGGAAGAGACUGAGCUUCUCAGUCAAGAGGAGUCAGCUUCUACCUGCUGUCCUAGAGAAGUUCAUAAUUCUCUUUUACCACCCCCCACUCUUCAACACUCCACAACUACCACCUCUACCCCCACUAUACCACCAUCAUCUCCCCACCAACCCCUACUCCCCAUCUCGGUCCAGAGCGCCCUAGUUAGAGCAAAACUUAAUUUCAUCUGACACCUCUCAAAUUCUGCAGCUGGGGAAGUCUCUGUAGCUUCCUGUUCAGUAUGGAUGUCCGCAUGGACCAGGAGUGAGAGUGGGUGGGCUACCUGGCAGAGUGAGGGCAUGAUAACCUAUGCCCUCACUUCCCUUUUCCUGAACAGUACUAGACUAGGGCAGGACCUGUGUGGCAAGAAUGCUGAGUAAUUCUGGAGCAGGCACCCCAAGCCAUGAGGGAC